AGUAAAUAGAUACCCGGGUAGUCCACGCCGUAAACGAUGAGUACUAGGUGUAGGAGGUAUCGACUCCUUCUGUGCCGCAGUUAAACACAAUAAGUACCCCGCCUGGGAAGUACGGUCGCAAGAUUAAAACUCAAAGGAAUUGACGGGGGCCCGCACAAGCAGCGGAGCAUGUGGUUUAAUUCGAAGCAACGCGAAGAACCUUACCUAGACUUGACAUCCCCUGAAUAACGUAGAGAUACGCGAAGCCCUUCGGGGCAGGGAGACAGGUGGUGCAUGGUUGUCGUCAGCUCGUGUCGUGAGAUGUUGGGUUAAGUCCCGCAACGAGCGCAACCCUUAUCAUUAGUUGCUACCAUUUAGUUGAGCACUCUAGUGAGACUGCCCGGGUUAACCGGGAGGAAGGCGGGGAUGACGUCAAAUCAUCAUGCCCCUUAUGUCUAGGGCUACACACGUGCUACAAUGGUGAGAACAACGAGAUGCAAUACCGCGAGGUGGAGCAAAACUUCAAAACUCAUCUCAGUUCGGAUUGUAGGCUGAAACUCGCCUAC
rnacentral:rRNA from 1 species